rnacentral:rRNA from 1 species
CGUGGGCAACCUGCCUAUAAGACUGGGAUAACUUCGGGAAACCGGAGCUAAUACCGGAUACGUUCUUUUCUCGCAUGAGAGAAGAUGGAAAGUCGGUUUACGCUGUCACUUAUAGAUGGGCCCGCGGCGCAUUAGCUAGUUCGUGAGGUAAUGGCUCACCAAGGCGACGAUGCGUAGCCGACCUGAGAGGGUGAUCGGCCACACUGGGACUGAGACACGGCCCAGACUCCUACGGGAGGCAGCAGUAGGGAAUCUUCCGCAAUGGACGAAAGUCUGACGGAGUCAACGCCGCGUGAACGAAGAAGGCCUUCGGGUCGUAAAGUUCUGUUGUUAGGGAAGAACAAGUACCAGAGUAACUGCUGGUACCUUGACGGUACCUAACCAGAAAGCCACGGCUAACUACGUGCCAGCAGCCGCGGUAAUACGUAGGUGGCAAGCGUUGUCCGGAAUUAUUGGGCGUAAAGCGCGCGCAGGUGGUUCCUUAAGUCUGAUGUGAAAGCCCUCGGCUCAACCGUGGAGGGUCAUUGGAAACUGGGGAACUUGAGUGCAGAAGAGGAAAGUGGAAU